rnacentral:rRNA from 1 species
UCAACGCCGGGAAUCUCACCGGAUAAGACAGCGGAAUGAUUGCCGGGCUGAAGACUCUGCAUGACUAGCUGAGAGGAGGUGCAUGGCCGUCGUCAGUUCGUACUGUGAAGCAUCCUGUUUAGUCAGGCAACGAGCGAGACCCACGCCAACAGUUGCCAGCAUGUUCUCCGGAAUGAUGGGGACACUGUUGGGACCGCCUCUGCUAAAGAGGAGGAAGGAAUGGGCAACGGUAGGUCAGCAUGCCCCGAAUUAUCCGGGCUACACGCGGGCUACAAUGGGCAGGACAAUGGGUAUCGACACCGAAAGGUGAAGGUAAUCCCCUAAACCUGUCCUUAGUUCGGAUUGUGGGCUGCAACUCGCCCACAUGAAGCUGGAAUCCGUAGUAAUCGCGUUUCAAAAUAGCGCGGUGAAUCUGUCCCUGCUCCUUGCACACGCCGCCCGUCAAANCCANCCCGAGUGACGGUCUGGAUGACGGCUGCGGUCGUUGCCGCACGUCGAAUCUGGGUUUCGCAAAGGGGGGUUAAGUC